rnacentral:misc_RNA from 1 species
UGAUUUCAGUGAGUUUCUUGUAUAAAUACCCCUUGAAAGGCUAUCAUUCUGAUGGCCUGUUGGUCCAGACAAUCUCAAUUUCAAGCGUUCUGGAAGUGCCGUCCUUGUUACUAUCAUGAUUGAGGCUGAAUAAUCCGCUGUAUAUUCCUUCUGUCACUACUUUAUCGAUUUGGAUAGUCACUCUUCCCAAAGUUGUCUUCCCAAAAGUAUUUUUACUUUUGCAUAUAAUGUGUAGUUUUUGUCCUUUCGGUGGCACAUCAAAAGCCCAUGUGAACCCUUCUUUCCAUUCUGGAGAAAUACUGUGGCUUACAACCUGAUAAAUAUAGCAGAUAAUUGUCAUCUGAAAUGCAGCUGCAGCUGCAGCUCAUGCUAAGAAAAUAAACAUAUAAUCACCAUUUUACUUGACCCACAGAGUUGCAGUUUCUGGAUAUAGGAAAUCUCUUCCAAAAUUUUCCAUGAAUUUGGAGUUGUUGAUUUUUGUUGAAAUUUCCCAGAUGUUAAAGGCAAUUAAUGUAUUCAUCUCUUUUAGUACAAUAAAUGAUAUACAAACCAAAAAAAUCACAGAUUGUUUUUCAUUAGAUAUACCCUUUACAGUCAUAAUUCGUGAUAAUUCAUGCAUUACAUUUAAGAUGCUAAUUCCUGAACUUUGAAUUUUAUCAUGUAACAACUAAAAAAAAAAGUUAAAUUUCCAUAAGAACCAUAAUAUGUAAGUACAACAAAAUCUAUAUCAUAAUGAGCAUGCGAACAUAUAAAUAAGAACAUCUAUGGGGCUAUUUCAGUGUGAAUAUUACUAUAAUUAAAGGCCAAAUUUUCAACAAUAUCAUUAUUAUUUUCUUUUCUCUCACAUUCCCAAGAGAAUAUAACUUUAUUUUCCCACACUUUGGGAAGGGGAAGUACUUUCCCAGCAUGUAAUUGCUAGAAGUGACAGUGGGAAGCAUUAUUCCAUAAAGUAACUUUCAUGGGAAUGCAACUUAUCUAUACAUACUGAACAUGUAAGUGUUACAUUCCCACAUCACUGUUCAAAGAAGUUUCAAUAACCAACACACUCUUACAGGAAUCUUCUUAUGACUUCCUUAAUAUUAAAAAAUGAGCACAGGGUACCCCAAAUGCCAUAUGGCAGAUUUAGGUGCAGCUAAAUUAUUAAAAGAACAGUAACAUUCUCAAACCUCUGUCCUCCUAUUGCCUAGCAUCAAUCAUGUAUAACACAUGAAAGGCCAUAAUUACAUACAGUGGAUUUUAUUAAAAUAAAAUGACGCCAUGCCAUCAGCAAAGUAAAUGGUCUGUUUUGCACACAAAACUUCAAAAAGCUCUUACCUUGGUUUGCCGAGGAGGACCACUGCCUAUUGUCAAUUGGCAGAAGGCAUUUGUGCUUCCCACUGUCUGCUUGAGGUUGUUCCCACGCAUAAUGGUAACAGUUAAACAACCUGGUAAGCAGUGCAACAGGAGGUCUGCUCUCUCGUGGAAACUUGGCGGGCAGGUCUUCAUCAGCAUUUGGAGAAUAGGAAUGGCAUCAGCUGCAACCAUUGCUUGAGACUUCGCAAUCUCUACUGACAUGGCUGACCAAGACUGUUUCAACAAGCAGAGGGUGUCCAAUACAGAUUCCUGAGCAGCCUCACUACCUGACUUUAGUGCAUUUAUUAAGCAGGGAAUAGACAAGGUUGCUGCUUCAGAAACAUGGAGCUUAGGAAAGUUGGUGAAAAUGACAUUCAAGGUUCUCAAGAUCUGUACAUUGAUGGUAGCUGUGGACCACAACUCUCUCUCAAGUGCAGCUGUCAAAGACCUGAUAAGCUCAUUUGAAACAUAUUCCUGGAGAGUGUGGUUAGAAAAUAGAAAUCUGAUCAGCAUUGCUGCUUGCCCAACAACAUCAGUACUAGUCGACAAUAGCAGUUCCUGAACUAUUAAUAUGCCACCUGCUUCUGCAACAGCCCUCCUAUUAGUCCGACUAUGCAUGACAAAAUUUUGCAAUGCACAAGUUGCCACCAUGGUCAUUUCUUCAGAUGGCUGAUCUUCAAGCAAGCUUACCAAAGCACGGACUGCUGAAACAGAAUCACUGGCCCUAGCAAGUCCUUCCUGCUGAGAGAGAUCCCCAAUAGCUAGUGCAGCAAGUAGCCUGCAGGUAUCUGAUUUUGUUUGUGGGUCUAAUAGAUACUGUGCUAAAGGUGCAAUAGCAUACUUGGAAACCUUCAUCUCUCGUACCCUGAUAUGAUUAAAUAAAGCUUCAAGUAAUCUUCCUGAUAACUCUUCACACUGACGAGAUCUUAGCAGGUCCAACAAAGCAUCUACAGCACCAGCUUCAGCCAUCUGCUCUGCACUUGAAGCAUCAGUCCUUUCAUGAACAAUUAGAGCAUUAAGAGCCACUUUAAUAGUGCUCUCAAGUGUAGAGUGCAGCAUUCUCACAAGGACAACCAAAGGAACCUUAAAGUAGUACUCUGCAUUGAAGCACAGCACAUUUGAUAAAACCAAACAAGCAGUUUCCCACAGCUCAAGAGGUGGUUGAGGAUCAUCUUGAAUAAUAACCUUUGCAACCUCAAAAAUACCUCCAGCAUCCGCAACCACCUUUGGCCAGCUUGUAGAAAUUUUUUCCAGUGCCUUGAUUGCUGUCUGCUGAAGGUUCAAUAUUCCAAUUCCUGCAAGCCGCACAAGUGGCACAACAGCAUUUUUUGUUGUGAUAUCUUGCUGAAAAUGUUCCUGUGCAAGAAGAUGCGAUAACAAUUCUGUGCCAAGCUGCUGAAUGGCUUGAGAAGGAGAUUCCAGAAAUGUAAUUAAAGGUUCAAUGACCCGGCUGGGAGUAAUAUUUAAUGUUACAAGGCUCUGUGGCUUCUCCAAAAUAUUUACAAGUGCUUGUAAUGCACUGUGCUGUCCCCACAAACCAAAAUCUGACCGAAGCAAAACCAUAAAAAGGGGUUCUACUAUUUUUGCUGCAUCUGAGCUUCUAGCAAUUGCACCACUAUUUGUCAAAAUGCGAAACAAUUCUGCAAUUGCAGAGCAUAAUGAACUGGGGGCAAUAGGGAGUAGCACAAGGCAUUUAUCUAUAACACCUGCUUUGACCAUAUCCAAUUUGCGAGGAGCCCGGUCUUUCCCCAACUUUAUUAAAGCACAGAUGCUACCUUCAAUAAGUCGAAAAUUAGUCCCAGAAACCAAGCCAACAAGAAGAUCCACAAGAAUAUCAUAAGCUGCAGCAAGCUCCACCUGCUGUUCAUCAUCCAACAAUCUCUCAAAAGCACAAACCCCAGCUUCCACAACCAAACUUAUAUUAGACUGCAUAAGAGACAGAAGAGGCUGCAUGCACUCUGAGGCAAUUGGAUCUGCUCUGAAUUUGGCAUUGCUAAACAGAAUAAAGCAAAGCUGUGCAACACAUCUCUUCAAUUCCAAGGAACACGAAGAAGAUAAUAUCUUGCAUAAAGUCUCAAGAGGAUCACCUUCCAUAUCCGUGAAUAGAGCUGCUUUUAAAGUAUUUCCUGAAGUCAGUUUGAUUAAAGCAACAAGAGCCGCCUCUUGCUCACUCUCUGAUGCAGCAUUAAGCAUGUCAAUCAAUGGCUGAACAGCCUGCCAAGCUAAUUCGGAGUCUCUGAUGUUCUCAGCGUCAAAAAGUUCUUGAAGAGCCCUUGCAGCACUAAAUCUAGCAUCCCUUGACCCCAGAUGAAGAACUGCCACAAGUUGAUUCACUGAACUAAGAGCCGCUUCAUAUCGAGUGAUUUCAGGAUUUUGGAACAGGAUUCUUAAGAGUUCAGAAAUAGACGCCUCAGUUGAGUCCUUAGGACUCAACGAAAGAUAUUUUGUCAAAGCAUCCAGAGCUCCAGCUUCUGCCAUUAUCAAUUUAUUUGUAUCACUUCCUUUUGCAACGUGCGUUAAGAGUUGAACAGAAAUUGUGGGGGCACCUGGCCUAUCAGGGAUAGGUCUUAACAGAUCCACCAGCAAUGGAAUACAUUUGCGUGCAGUCGAACCAACUCUCACAUCUUCAAUUUCAAAAAGGCGCUCCAGAAUAAUUUGACCAGGAUUUCGUAACAGAGAAAAUUCUUCUGAUAAAGCAACAAAGUUUGGCAUAUCUGAUUCUAUGUAACCAACUAGAGUUAUUAACCCAGCAACAGCACCUGAAUUUGCAAUGGUGAGAUUUAUUCCCUUACUUCCAUUGCCAACUAGGCUAGCCAUUGCUUGGGCAGCAAAAUAUCUGUCAAUCAUUUCAUCAGAUCUUAGCAAAUGAGCAAGUGAAGGUAUGAUCCGCAUUGUUGUAGGAGACAUAACAACAGUUGCAUCUUGGAAUAAGAUAGCCAGGAGCAAGGCACUAAUCCAUAUACCCUCGGUGUCCUCAAACUCUGCCUGUGGAUUAGAUGUAUAAUUUAAAAGCUUGUCAGACAGAGCUUCAAGUCCACCAGCUUCCAUUACAAUGAGCUUGUUCUUAUUGUGAAAUGAAGAAAUUAUUGAUAGAAGCCACAGGGCAACAGUACCUCCUAAAACAGUGGAUGGAUCAAUAACAUCAAAAUCAUCCCCUUCCUGGAAGGCUGAUCUUUCAAAAUAUCCCCUUGGGGUUCUGACUUCAAUUUCUAAAGAACAACAACUAGAAUUCUGCUUCAUCAUAUCCACUAAAGCAUAUGUGAGUGGCUUUGAAUAACCUGAUAAAUCAAGUGCUUCCAUUGACUGUUGUUUGUGUUCUUUUGCAGCACAUACAAACAAUGCAGUCCCUCCAACUCGCACUUCUAGACUGGAGGAGUUUAUUAUUCUAUUUGCAAGAGAACCAAUUGAACUUGAUCUUGCAAUCAACAGAUCACCUAGAACAACUGGUUGACCGGCACAAAGCCUAGACAAAAUUUCUAUUGCCUUAUCUUGCUGUGAAGGGGAGCCCUCAGCCAAGCAGCAAACUAAAGACUCUAAGCUUGAGGGUACUUCAGCAAAGGCAGUCCAGGGUGGGUAAGUGGCACUCAAACCUUGUUUUGUUUUGGCCAAGAGUGCAACUACUUCUAACACAUCAGCAGCAUCAGUGCCAUUUAAGUCCAAUGCAUUCAAGGAAUCAAGAAUCGCAAGAACAGUAAAACGACACUGAGCAUUUCCCUUGAGAACAUCACCCACUGGGAAAUGCUUUAGUAAUUGAUGAAGGGCUCGUGCUGCAUUCUUCUUGCCUUCUGAAGUUCCUUCCCCAAGGACCCUUGUCAAAGCCGCCACAACAUCUUCUGCCAGAGCUUCAGCAGCAACCUGGAAAUCAGAGAGAAGAUUGGCCAGUGCAGCAACAGCAGUUUCAGCAGCAUCAAUGGAUGAAGUUUUAGCCAACUUAAUUAGAGGUUUAACAUCUCCUUCUGCAAUAUAAGGCAUCUUGAUAGUAGUCUUUUUCUUGGUUGGACGAGACAAGGCACUCAAUGUUCGAGCUAGCUGCGUUGCAACUUGAGUAUUAUUACCAGCUAGAAGCUUCAUGCAAGGAUGCACAACCUCAUCAGCUGCAAGACUAUCACAAAUAUCCUGCCUUGUGCUGAACAAAUCAGCAAGAAUAGAAGCUGCAUACUCUUGGGUUUCUUCAUUUGAAGAGUUCAGAACCUUUAUAAGAGAUUUUAAUGCUUUAUUAGCAGCAGAUCCCCUAUGCACAAUAUCAUUGAGUGAUGCCAUUGUAAGUACAUGGCCCAAAACUCUUAUUAUGUGUGCCUUUGAGCCCAGAGAGUCCCCUAGGAGCAGAGCUAGCAACUGAUUAAUAGUGGCAUGAUCAGCUGAUCGGACAAGGGUUUUAAGUGCCUUAGCUGAUGCUUCUUGACCUUUUGGCCCACCACUUUUAAGAAGCCAUAAGAAUGCUGGGAUGGCUCCUGCACUCUCAACACAGGCCCGGAUAUCUUCACUAUGACAACACAAGUUCCAGAGAACAUGUGCUGCAUCCUCCCGUGCCUUCUGAGAUCCUGUCUCUAGUAAUUGUACCAACGGAGGAAUCCCACCUGCAGCAGUAAUAGCCCACUUGCUGUCAUCAACUUGGUCAGUCAAGAUUGCAAGCAAUCGAACAGCAUACUCCUGAUGCUGCUCACUGGACAAACCCAAUAAUGAUAUGAGUAACUGAAUUCCUUCUCUCUUGCCGAUGGCCUCCCAGAGGCCUAUCCCAUUACGACAUAAGCUGCUUAAAGAAACAAUCAGAUACUCAUGUGCAUCCCCAACAGCCAUUGUGAUAAGCCCAAUAAGAACCUUCUUUGCUUCAGCAUGAUUAAGGGAACUUGAGAGCUGGAUGUUGCCAUACAGGCUUGCCAUUGCCUCAAGGAUACGCUCCUGAAUCAGCUUAGUAUCACGAGGCUUCAGAAGCUUUACCAAUAUAUCCUCUAUCUUUGUUGCAUCAAGAGAUUCCCCAUCAACACCAGAAUUCUGUUCAAAGACCAUCAAGGCAUAAGCAAGUGCUCCAAUUAUAUCAGCAAUUGGUGCAGCAAGGCGAGGAGACUGUGACAGUUGUCCAAGAUACAGUAUCAAAGCAGACAUUCCACCAUAGAUAUUUGCUAAAGCUCGGGUUGCAUGGCCCUGCAGAGCCUGAGCAGACUCCCCUUGCAUGCAUUCUUUAGAAGGAGCAACUACAGCCCCAAUGAGCACAUGAACACCAUUUGCAUCUACAACAGCUUGUUUAGCCUUUACUGACUUUGAGGAAACUACCUCCAAAGCGUCAGCAGCACUGGCACGGACUGAAACAUCAUUGUUCUGACCCACAAGCUGAAGCAAAGCUUUGAUGGCCCCAGAAUCAAUUACCUUUGGGAUACUAUCACUGAAAGCCAACAUCAGACGAGCCAUGAGAGAAGCUGCAUUGGAUUGGGCUGCAACAUUAUCAGAGGAUAGAAGACCUACAAUGAUAUCCACUCCCCCAGCCUCAAGAGUUGCUCUCCAGUAAUCAUCUUUGUCACCACAAAGAUUUCUCAAGGCCCCAGUAACAAAACCCUCCACCACUUUGUCCUGCUUGUUCUGUGGAUUGAGCUGAUCCCACAAGGUUGG